rnacentral:rRNA from 1 species
UACGAAGGGGGCUAGCGUUGUUCGGAAUUACUGGGCGUAAAGGGCGCGCAGGCGGCUCUUCAAGUCAGAUGUGAAAGCCCCGGGCUCAACCUGGGAACUGCAUUUGAGACUGGAGAGCUCGAGUUCGGGAGAGGAGAGCGGAAUUCCCAGUGUAGAGGUGAAAUUCGUAGAUAUCGGGAGGAACACCGGUGGCGAAGGCGGCGACCUGGGUCGAUACUGACGCUGAGGUGCGAAAGCGUGGGGAGCGAACAGG